rnacentral:rRNA from 1 species
AGAGUUUGAUCCUGGCUCAGAUUGAACGCUGGCGGCAGGCCUAACACAUGCAAGUCGAGCGGCAGCACGGGAAGCUUGCUUCCUGGUGGCGAGCGGCGGACGGGUGAGUAAUGCAUAGGAAUCUGCCCGGUAGUGGGGGAUAACCUGGGGAAACCCAGGCUAAUACCGCAUACGUCCUACGGGAGAAAGCAGGGGCUCUUCGGACCUUGCGCUAUCGGAUGAGCCUAUGUCGGAUUAGCUGGUUGGUGAGGUAAUGGCUCACCAAGGCGACGAUCCGUAGCUGGUCUGAGAGGAUGAUCAGCCACAUCGGGACUGAGACACGGCCCGAACUCCUACGGGAGGCAGCAGUGGGGAAUAUUGGACAAUGGGCGCAAGCCUGAUCCAGCCAUGCCGCGUGUGUGAAGAAGGCCCUCGGGUUGUAAAGCACUUUCAGUGGGGAAGAAAGCCUGGUGGUUAAUACCCGUCAGGAAGGACAUCACCCACAGAAGAAGCACCGGCUAACUCCGUGCCAGCAGCCGCGGUAAUACGGAGGGUGCGAGCGUUAAUCGGAAUUACUGGGCGUAAAGCGCGCGUAGGUGGCUUGAUAAGCCGGUUGUGAAAGCCCCGGGCUCAACCUGGGAACGGCAUCCGGAACUGUCAGGCUAGAGUGCAGGAGAGGAAGGUAGAAUUCCCGGUGUAGCGGUGAAAUGCGUAGAGAUCGGGAGGAAUACCAGUGGCGAAAGGCGGCCUUCUGGACUGACACUGACACUGAGGUGCGAAAGCGUGGGUAGCAAACAGGAUUAGAUACCCUGGUAGUCCACGCCGUAAACGAUGUCGACUAGCCGUUGGGUCCUUCGCGGACUUUGUGGCGCAGUUAACGCGAUAAGUCGACCGCCUGGGGAGUACGGCCGCAAGGUUAAAACUCAAAUGAAUUGACGGGGGCCCGCACAAGCGGUGGAGCAUGUGGUUUAAUUCGAUGCAACGCGAAGAACCUUACCUACCCUUGACAUCCUGCGAACCCUUCGGAGACGAAGGGGUGCCUUCGGGAACGCAGAGACAGGUGCUGCAUGGCUGUCGUCAGCUCGUGUUGUGAAAUGUUGGGUUAAGUCCCGUAACGAGCGCAACCCUUGUCCCUAUUUGCCAGCGAUUCGGUCGGGAACUCUAGGGAGACUGCCGGUGACAAACCGGAGGAAGGUGGGGACGACGUCAAGUCAUCAUGGCCCUUACGGGUAGGGCUACACACGUGCUACAAUGGUCAGUACAAAGGGUUGCGAACUUGCGAGAGUGAGCCAAUCCCAGAAAGCUGAUCUCAGUCCGGAUCGGAGUCUGCAACUCGACUCCGUGAAGUCGGAAUCGCUAGUAAUCGUGAAUCAGAAUGUCACGGUGAAUACGUUCCCGGGCCUUGUACACACCGCCCGUCACACCAUGGGAGUGGACUGCACCAGAAGUGGUUAGCCUAACCUUCGGGAGGGCGAUCACCACGGUGUGGUUCAUGACUGGGGUGAAGUCGUAACAAGGUA